rnacentral:rRNA from 1 species
ACUCCUACGGGAGGCAGCAGUGGGGAAUAUUGCACAAUGGGCGCAAGCCUGAUGCAGCCAUGCCGCGUGUAUGAAGAAGGCCUUCGGGUUGUAAGUACUUUCAGCAGUGAGGAAGGUGGGUAUGUUAAUAGCAUACUCAUUUUGACGUUUUAGCUGCAGAAGAAGCACCGGCUAACUCCGUGCCAGCAGCCGCGGUAAUACGGAGGGUGCGAGCGUUAAUCGGAAUUACUGGCGUAAAGCGCAUGCAGGUGGUUUGUUAAGUCAGAUGUGAAAGCCCGGGGCUCAACCUCGGAAUUGCAUUUGAAACUGGCAAACUAGAGUACUGUAGAGGGGGUAGAAUUUCAGGUGUAGCGGUG